rnacentral:rRNA from 1 species
AUUGAACGCUGGCGGCAGGCCUAACACAUGCAAAUCGAGCGGAUGAAGGGAGCUUGCUCCUGGAUUCAGCGGCGGACGGGUGAGUAAUGCCUAGGAAUCUGCCUGGUAGUGGGGGAUAACGUCCGGAAACGGGCGCUAAUACCGCAUACGUCCUGAGGGAGAAAGUGGGGGAUCUUCGGACCUCACGCUAUCAGAUGAGCCUAGGUCGGAUUAGCUAGUUGGUGGGGUAAAGGCCUACCAAGGCGACGAUCCGUAACUGGUCUGAGAGGAUGAUCAGUCACACUGGAACUGAGGCACGGUCCAGACUCCUACGGGAGGCAGCAGUGGGGAAUAUUGGACAAUGGGCGAAAGCCUGAUCCAGCCAUGCCGCGUGUGUGAAGAAGGUCUUCGGAUUGUAAAGCACUUUAAGUUGGGAGGAAGGGCAGUAAGUUAAUACCUUGCUGUUUUGACGUUACCAACAGAAUAAGCACCGGCUAACUUCGUG